GUCCAGAUGACGAAUCCCAAACAGGAUGAAAUGCGCAUUCUAGAC
rnacentral:hammerhead_ribozyme from 1 species